rnacentral:rRNA from 1 species
GUCUGUAUGAAGUUAUAUGGAGUCUAACCUGCCCAUUGAUAAAUAUUAAAAGGCCGCGGUAUAUUAACUGUGCAAAGGUAGCAUAAUCAUUAGUUUUUUAAUUGAAGGCUUGUAUGAAGGGUUGGACAAAGAAUAUUCUGUCUUUAAUAUUAUUUUUGAAUUUUACUUUUAAGUGAAAAGGCUUAAAUAUAUUUAAAAGACGAUAAGACCCUAUAAAUCUUAAUAUUAUUUAGUUUUGUGUUUUAUUAUUUAUUUGUAAAAGAAGUAUAAAGUUGUGUAUAUUGUGUUGGGGUGAUGAGAAGUUAUAAGUUAAUUAUUCUAAAUUAAAAUCAAAGUUGUUUGUAAAAUAAUAGAUCCUUAUUUAAAGAUCAAGAGUUGAAGUUACUUUAGGGAUAACAGCGUUAUUUUUUUUGAGAGUUCUUAUCGAAAAAAGAGUUUGCGACCUCGAUGUUGAAUUAAAAUUUCUUUGGGGUGUAGCAGUCUCAAUAGGAGAGUCUGUUCGACUUUU